rnacentral:rRNA from 1 species
UUGUUGCAGUUAAAAAGCUCGUAGUUGAACCUUAGGCAAGGCGGCCUGGUCACCCACUGGGUGCACUGGGCUCGCCGCGCCUCACCUGCGGGGAACUAGUCGUGCUUCGGUGCGCUAGGGAACCGCGCCUUACUUUGAAGAAAUUAGAGUGUUUAAAGCAGGCUUUUGCUUGAAUACGCCAGCAUGGAAUAACAGGAUAGGACUUUGGUUCUAUUUUGUUGGUUUGAGGACCAAAGUAAUGAUUAAUAGGGCCAGUCGGGGGCAUUAGUAUUCUAUAGUCAGAGGUGAAAUUCUUGGAUUUAUAGAAGACUAACUAAUGCGAAAGCAUUUGCCAAGGAUGUUUUCAUUAAUCAAGAACGAAAGUUAGGGGAUCGAAGACGAUUAGAUACCGUCGUAGUCUUAACCAUAAACUAUGCCGACUAGGGAUCGGUGGAUGUCGCUUUUGACUCCAUCGGCACCUUACGAGAAAUCAAAGUUUUUGGGUUCUGGGGGGAGUAUGGUCGCAAGGCUGAAACUUAAAGGAAUUGACGGAAGGGCACCACCAGGAGUGGAGCCUGCGGCUUAAUUUGACUCAACACGGGAAAACUCACCAGGUCCGGACAUGGGAAGGAUUGACAGAUUGAGAGCUC